AAUAAUCUCAUUUUUCGUUUUUCUGUGUCUAACGUUUGACCAUUUAUCUUAUUUAGAAUUUUUGUUGCAAUUAAUAUUUUUAUUAUUACUAGAUGAUAAAAUAUGAAUAGUAUUUUAUACGUGAUUAAUUUUUUUAGUUUUUUGCACAAAUUUUUUAAAUAAGACGAAUGGUCAAACGUUGGACAUGGAAAAACAAAAACUGAGGUUAUU
rfam:Oryza brachyantha chromosome 4, whole genome shotgun sequence.